UACACAUGCAAGUCGAACGGCAGCACGGGAGCAAUCCUGGUGGCGAGUGGCGAACGGGUGAGUAAUAUAUCGGAACGUGCCCAGUCGUGGGGGAUAACGCAGCGAAAGCUGUGCUAAUACCGCAUACGAUCUAUGGAUGAAAGCGGGGGAUCGCAAGACCUCGCGCGAUUGGAGCGGCCGAUAUCAGAUUAGCUAGUUGGUGGGGUAAAAGCCCACCAAGGCGACGAUCUGUAGCUGGUCUGAGAGGACGACCAGCCACACUGGAACUGAGACACGGUCCAGACUCCUACGGGAGGCAGCAGUGGGGAAUUUUGGACAAUGGGCGAAAGCCUGAUCCAGCAAUGCCGCGUGCAGGACGAAGGCCUUCGGGUUGUAAACUGCUUUUGUACGGAACGAAACGGUCUCUUUUAAUAAAGGGGGCUAAUGACGGUACCGUAAGAAUAAGCACCGGCUAACUACGUGCCAGCAGCCGCGGUAAUACGUAGGGUGCGAGCGUUAAUCGGAAUUACUGGGCGUAAAGCGUGCGCAGGCGGUUAUAUAAGACAGAUGUGAAAUCCCCGGGCUCAACCUGGGACCUGCAUUUGUGACUGUAUAGCUAGAGUACGGUAGAGGGGGAUGGAAUUCCGCGUGUAGCAAUGAAAUGCGUANAUAUGCGGAGGAACACCGAUGGCGAAGGCAAUCCCCUGGGACCUGUCUUGACGCUUAUGCACNAAAACCUGGGGAGCAAACAGGAUUANAUCCCUGGNANUCCACNCCCUAAACNAUGUCAACUGGGUUGUUGGGU
rnacentral:rRNA from 1 species